UGUAACUGCAUGCACUGGCGUACAUACCGUGGUCAAAGGGGUCGCAGCCCUGUGACCCCUGCGACCAGGUGCCCGCCGCCAUGUGUUGCGGCCCUAGCCCGCGCAGAGUAAGCACGCGGGGGGAGAUGGGGGCCCACGGAUCAGUUUUCGCACCGGGGCCCCAUGGGUUGUGUGUACGCCACUGCAUGGGAAAACAGACACUGGG